CACGUAGGGGGCGAGCGUUGUCCGGAUUUAUUGGGCGUAAAGAGCUCGUAGGUGGCUCGGUAAGUCGGGUGUGAAAUUUCGAGGCUCAACCUCGAAACGCCACCUGAUACUGCCGUGGCUUGAGUCCGGUAGGGGAGCGUGGAAUUCCUGGUGUAGCGGUGAAAUGCGCAGAUAUCAGGAGGAACACCAGCGGCGAAGGCGGCGCUCUGGGCCGGUACUGACACUGAGGAGCGAAAGCGUGGGGAUCAAACAGG
rnacentral:rRNA from 1 species